AUUGAACGCUGGCGGCAGGCUUAACACAUGCGAGUCGAGCGGAGAUGAGGUGCUUGCACCUUAUCUUAGCGGCGGACGGGUGAGUAAUGCUUAGGAAUCUGCCUAUUAGUGGGGGACAACAUUCCGAAAGGAAUGCUAAUACCGCAUACGCCCUACGGGGGAAAGCAGGGGAUCUUCGGACCUUGCGCUAAUAGAUGAGCCUAAGUCGGAUUAGCUAGUUGGUGGGGUAAAGGCCUACCAAGGCGACGAUCUGUAGCGGGUCUGAGAGGAUGAUCCGCCACACUGGGACUGAGACACGGCCCAGACUCCUACGGGAGGCAGCAGUGGGGAAUAUUGGACAAUGGGCGGAAGCCUGAUCCAGCCGUGCCGCGUGUGUGAAGAAGGCCUUUUGGUUGUAAAGCACUUUAAGCGAGGAGGAGGCUACCUGGAUUAAUACUCUAGGAUAGUGGACGUUACUCGCAGAAUAAGCACCGGCUAACUCUGUGCCAGCAGCCGCUGUAAUAC
rnacentral:rRNA from 1 species